rnacentral:rRNA from 1 species
AGUGGGGAAUCUUGCGCAAUGGGCGAAAGCCUGACGCAGCAACGCCGCGUGGGGGACGAAGGCUCUCGGGUUGUAAACCCCUUUCAGGAGGGACGAAAUUGACGGUACCUCCAGAAGAAGCCCCGGCCAACUACGUGCCAGCAGCCGCGGUAACACGUAGGGGGCGAGCGUUGUCCGGAUUUAUUGGGCGUAAAGAGCUCGUAGGUGGCUCGGUAAGUCGGGUGUGAAAUUUCGAGGCUCAACCUCGAGACGCCACCUGAUACUGCUGUGGCUUGAGUCCGGUAGGGGAGCGUGGAAUUCCUGGUGUAGCGGUGAAAUGCGCAGAUAUCAGGAGGAACACCAGCGGCGAAGGCGGCGCUCUGGGCCGGUACUGACACUGAGGAGCGAAAGCGUGGGGAUCAAA